CCGUAUGACACUCUAUACUACUCUAUACGGGAACUAGGGCUGACUAGCCACUACAAUCAGUUGAUGCAUCUUAAUAUUUCAUAUCAUCAUCAUUUAUUUCCACACAUUCAAUUCAAUACAUUUCUAACAACCUAGCGAUCAAUCAGUACAAUGAUCUCACUCAUUGUCACACACGUCAAACCAUAGACUUAACCAACUCGACAUACAAGACCGACUCAAUCUUAUGACACCUUUAACACCCAGAUACCCGACCAUGAACUAAGGACUCUACAAUGCACGUUUUUAUAUCCCGCCUCUCGCGGCUGGCUCAUCUUUUCUCUUUUCUCUGUGGGUAGCUCUCGCUAGACUUCUACCCCAUAUUCUUGUGGAUUCCACCACAGCUCCUAUGGGUGCCUCCAUAUUCUUUUGGAUUCCACCACAGCUCCUAUGGAUGCCUAGCGUAGAACUACUACCCC
rnacentral:lncRNA from 1 species